rnacentral:rRNA from 1 species
GACGAACGCUGGCGGCGUGCUUAACACAUGCAAGUCGAACGAAGUGGCGAACGGGUGAGUAACGUGUAAUCAACCUGCCCUUCAGAGGGGGACAACAGUUGGAAACGACUGCUAAUACCGCAUACUGAAGGAGGGGAUUGCGUCGGAUUAGCUGGUUGGAGGGGUAACGGCCCACCAAGGCGAUGAUCAGUAGCCGGUCUGAGAGGAUGAACGGCCAAAAUGGGACUGGGGAACGGCCCAGAAUCCUACGGGGUGCAGCAGUGGGGGAUCUUUCGAAAUGGACGAAAGUCUGACGGAGCAACGCCGCGUGAGUGAUGACGGCCUUCGGGUUGUAAAGCUCUGUUAAUCGGGGCGCGGUACCGGAAUAGAAAGCCACGGCUAACUACGUGCCAGCAGCCGCGGUAAUUC